CCUACAGCUGUAGAGACUUUACGUUGACACAAUGUCAUUGAUGAGGAUGGAAUUUCUUAAUGGAAAUCACUAUGGAAAAGAAGAAUAUUUCUGUUUAGGUUGUUCAUUUAAUCAAGGGAGAUCACCCAGCAAAUACUUCCAUGCUUCCUGGCAAAAAGUUGUUGAUUAUUGUGUUACUGUAGUCAUCUCACCAGAGAUGUUGUUCUUGUGUGAGUGGACAGCUCAGAGAAUACAUGCAGAAAGUGCAAUUCGAAAGGAUUGCCUCUGGAAAGUCUCUUACUUCACAAAGAGACUUGACAGGCAUUGACAUCAGGACAUCAGUCGUAGAGCAUACUGGUUACAGUGGUGGAGAGACUUGUCUGGUGUCAAUGAAGUGUCAGCAGGCAAAUCCAUGAAGCAUCAUGGCAUGAAAAGCAGACCUUGUCUUUGGAUGAAUAGUUUAGGGAUAAAGGCCAAACCCUUCAGUUCCUGGAGUGCCAACAUGUUCCUGUUCCUCCAAGACCUCCAAAUUAUGAGAAGUGAUUCUGAAUUGAAUUUUCACAGAUCAGCCAACAGAAGAACAGGUAGUGACUAAACCUUGCAAAUUAGUAGCUAAGAGUAAAGACCACUUCUCUCCUAUAUUGCAGAAUAUUAUUUUGUGGAAAAUCUAGCAAGACAAUUUACUAACUCCAGUUGCGAUCCAUGCUAAUAAACUUACUUGCUACAAAUUUUGUUGAUGUAGUGUACAUUAUUUUCUCUCAUGGAAGCGCAGCAAUAAAUAUUGACUGAAUUAAAUUAUGGACAAAGGGAUGUAGUGAAAAGGAACUUUUAGCCAGAAGCUAUCAGGCCUGUGAACUGA